rnacentral:rRNA from 1 species
ACGCUCGACACCUACGGGAGGCAGCAGUGGGAAUAUUGCACAAUGGGGGAAACCCUGAUGCAGCGACGCCGCGUGGAGGAAGAAGGUCUUCGGAUUGUAAACUCCUGUUGUUGGGGAAAAAGAGGAUGGUACCCAACAAGGAAGUGACGGCUAACUACGUGCCAGAAGCCGCGGUAAUCUGAGCGGGGCUGGCAAGGC